AAGAACGAACGCUGGCGGCAUGCCUAACACAUGCAAGUCGAACGAGACCUUCGGGUCUAGUGGCGCACGGGUGCGUAACGCGUGGGAACCUGCCUUUAGGUUCGGAAUAACAGUGAGAAAUUACUGCUAAUACCGGAUGAUGUCUUCGGACCAAAGAUUUAUCGCCUUUAGAUGGGCCCGCGUUGGAUUAGCUAGUUGGUGGGGUAAAGGCCUACCAAGGCGACGAUCCAUAGCUGGUCUGAGAGGAUGAUCAGCCACACUGGGACUGAGACACGGCCCAGACUCCUACGGGAGGCAGCAGUGGGGAAUAUUGGACAAUGGGCGAAAGCCUGAUCCAGCAAUGCCGCGUGAGUGAUGAAGGCCUUAGGGUUGUAAAGCUCUUUUACCCGAGAUGAUAAUGACAGUAUCGGGAGAAUAAGCUCCGGCUAACUCCGUG
rnacentral:rRNA from 1 species